GGCUCGGUGGUGUAGUUGGUUAUCACGUCAGUCUAACAACCCCUCAAAGGUCAUUAGUGCACUGAAGGUCCCGAGUUCAAACCUCGGCUGAGUCA